GCCGCCGAAGAGCAGUAAGACGCGUGAAUACGAGUCGCGCCGCCGCCGAGCCGUAAGUCGCGUGAAUACGAGUCGCGCAGCCAGAGAGCCAGUAAGACGCGUGAAGAGAGACGCGCCGCCGGAGAGCUUGUAAGCCGCGUGAAUUGGAGUCGUGACUAGGAUCCGAGGGAGCCAGCCGCAACAGAGGAGGUGAUGCCGGACCAGCACGUGAACCAACAAAUUGGACCUUAGUCAGGGAACCAGUAUCAAUGACCGUGAUCCUGACUUGUCGACAGAAGACGAUGCAUUCAUAAGGAUAAAAGUGCCUUCCGGUCCAACCUAUUUUUUAGUUGACCAAUAGGACUGGGCCUCAUUACAGAAAUUGAGAAAACCCAGAGGAUUCAAGGGCCUUGACUGGCAUUAUUUCCAAAGGAAUUCGAUCCAUCCAUCCAUACUGUUCAAUAGCUUUCAAAAGACAGAACUAAGACACUUGGCUCAAUAAGACAAGACCUGGAAUUUUGGUGUCUGUGUUACUGUCAAUUUGAGAACUGUCCUGUUGAAGUCACCGUCACAAUAGAUAGCAAAGGAUUUUUUUAAGACACUGUACAUUUCAAGGGUGGUAUGAGCAUCCACAAUCGCAUUGAACUAAAGUCAAGACCUGUGAGAGGAAGAGAAAGGGAUUCACUGGGGCAAAAAUUACAAAAAGAAUUGCCCAGAUCUCUCUACUUAAGAAACCUUCUGAAAUUGGACGAAGCAGUCAUGGAAUCAGGCUGCAGAGAUGACGCACUCACACCUCCUGUAUUGAAAACCAUUUCAUGGGAAAAGAGGCAAAGUCAUCUGCACAACAAUGAGCUGUUAAGUUUGCAUUUCAUGGUGGAAAGAAAGACUUAAGCCAGAUGUGCUCCAAAAAGUAUUUUUAUUCCCCAAAGGUGUACUGUAUUGACAUUUAUCGUGACAGGACCAGAGAAGACAUCCUCUAUUUGGACGCCACUGGCAGCAUCAUAAAGAAGGAAAAAUGCUCCCCACCAUUCUAUGUGUAUGAGCUUCUUGUGAAGAAUUCAUUGAAAAACUCCUCACCCUUCCCUACUUGACUCGUGAACACACCACUGCCUCGGUCAAGUAUUUUCUUGACACGUUUCAAGGAUGUAUGGACAGAGAGCGAUGCAGGCACCAGUCAUGCUUCUAUUGUGCUAAUGCAAGCACUGUGUCUUUCAUUUAUAAAGACCAAUUUGAAUAGCACCAUUGAACAUUACUACUCUAUAGUUUGUGGAAAGGGGACAUCCACAGAUUUUGAAGUACCUAUCCUACACUGUUGCUUGAGGCAUUUGAUGAAGAAUGCCAAGGACAUUUGCAGAAAAUAUUACUAUUUUCAUUAGUAAUUUGAACAAUGUCAUCCAUAUUUGUUAACUGGUUGCUAAUUUUAUCAAUAAAUCUUAUAAAUAUC